ensembl:lncRNA
CUGCAGCCUCUUCCAACAAAGGCUUCUGCUCGCCUUGCAGGGAGGAAGGGGCCAUCUCCCUCCACUCGGAGCACGUAGCACGAUGGUGAAAUACAGCCGCGCCGUACCCUGCAGCAGGGUCUGCUCCAGCACGGCUGCACUUCGGAGACCAAUUUGUUUAGCUGAUCACUGUCUCUUUGACGUGGCUGCAAAUGUUACCUUUCUUUUUCAAUCAAAAACACAGCAGGGUGUGCCAUCUGUUUGGCACAGCCCUCGCUCCCUUCCCCGAUGCCUUUUUGUGCAGAUCAUUUUGCGUGGCAAUUUGCACGGAUCUUUUAUACCUCGGUUUCGGGAAGCAUUUCACCCUGCUCUUUUGAAAUACCGCAUCACUGCGCUGGGCAUCUUCUGGGUUAAAAGAAAAAGAUGAAAAGAGGUGUGAACACGAGCAGUGAAAUACAACAAGAAGUACUUUAAAAAUAUCUUUUCGGAGCGAAUGGCCGCUGUCGUGACAGUGAUUAUUGAAAACAGACGUGUUUACCAGGACUGGAUCGCGCAUUUACACGUCCCGUGCCACUGUCCUUCUCAUAUUUUACCUGGCAGGCACAGCUAAUCAGAAGAUUAAUUUAACCAUGUGAAAGACCUUUUUAAAGCAGGUUAACAAAAAAAUAGCCACCGUAUUAAAUUGUCAUUAUAUAACAAAAGCUCGCAGCAAAGCAGUUAACUGUUUUUUGCCCAGCUCAGAUGCUGCUCGGAGCCGUGGAACCCCCCAAAGCAAGAACAGAUGAUCAGCACCGCGCGCUGGAGCCACGGGGAUGCUCGCGGAGUCCUGAACGCUUCGUGGCAUACAAAUGAAUGAUCCUCAUUCUUCUCCUGCCCCAGCAUAUAGGCCAGACCUCAUUAGGAUUCAAUAUCGCUCGGCUUUUCUGAUGUUAAUGUUCCACUUACAUAAGAUAUGCAAGAAGGGGGGACGUAUGGGAAAGGGGGGCAUGCCGCAAUUAUGGUCGACACGAUGCCGUAAUCCUGAAAGCAGAACUUCAUAUUUUUGAGAAAAUUACUCCAUUUUCCUAUUUGCUCUCGCAGCCCUAAUGCAGCAUUAUGUCCGUUCCUCCCUCUAACAAGCGGGUUUUAAUCGCGUGCCUACCCUGCAGUUACAGCAGGUAAAAUAACAGGUUUUAUAGCCCUUUUAUUUGGGGGGAAAAAUAAAAGAUGCCGUGACUAAACAUCAGCUCCGAGUCCAUUUUACUGUGAAAGGAAACACUGCACUUUACAUUAUAAAACUACUGUAGGACUUAUCGCCAUCCAGGAAUAACCCCAGCAUUAGGCUGUGUCCUUUUGUCUGGAGAGCAGAGAGCGCGUAAUGGAAACAGAACCCAGCACGGCACAAACAUACAAUUUAUACCUUUUUAUCAAGCAAAGACGAAAGUUGGUUAACGUUUGAAAAGGGAGCAGUAAUGUAUAUUUAUUGACAAUUUUAUUGUAAUAAUUAGAUGUUUACACAGUCUGGACAUUGUGGCUAAAUCACUUCCAGCAUGUUUAUUUGUAAAGGGCUGUUUUCAGGGCAGUGCAGGAGGCUCAUUAAGAAGACAGACUGCAUUAAGAUUCAAAGAAAUUACUGCUUCUCAUGCUCAGCUCCACUGCUUUGGAUUUAAAGUAAGAAAAGAAAGAUAGAAAGAAAAAGAGAGGGAGGA